rnacentral:rRNA from 1 species
GAUGAACGCUGGCUACAGGCUUAACACAUGCAAGUCGGGGGGAAACGACGGGGAAGCUUGCUUCCCCGGGCGUCGACCGGCGCACGGGUGAGUAACGCGUAUCCAACCUGCCUCUGACUGAGGGAUAACCCGUCGAAAGUCGGCCUAAUACCUCAUGGUAUCGUCUGCGGGCAUCCAACGACGAUUAAAGAUUUCAUCGGUCAGGGAUGGGGAUGCGUCUGAUUAGCUUGUUGGCGGGGUAACGGCCCACCAAGGCGACGAUCAGUAGGGGUUCUGAGGGGAAGGUCCCCCACAUUGGAACUGAGACACGGGCCAAACUGCUACGGGAGGCAGCAGUGAGGAAUAUUGGGCAAUGGGCGAGAGCCUGAACCAGCCAAGUAGCGUGCAGGAAGACGGCCCUAGGGGUUGUAAACUGCUUUUAGGCGGGGAUAAAGUGAGGGACGUGUCCCUCAUUGCAGGUACCGCAUGAAUAAGGACCGGCUAAUUCCGUG